rnacentral:tRNA from 1 species
GGUUCCAUAGAGUAGUGGUUAGCAUGUCUGCUUUACAUGCAAAAGGUCCUGGGUUCAAGCCCCAGUGGAGCCA